rnacentral:rRNA from 1 species
UUAUCCAGCAAUGGAUGACUGAGUGGCGAACGGGUGAGUAACACGUGGGUGACCUACCUUCGAGUGGGGGAUAACGUCCCGAAAGGGACGCUAAUACCGCAUAACAUCCUGCCUUUGAACAGGCGGUGAUCAAAGCCGGGGACCGUAAGGCCCGGCGCUUGAUGAGGGGCUCGCGUCUGAUUAGCUAGUUGGUGAGGUAACGGCCCACCAAGGCGACGAUCAGUAUCCGGCCUGAGAGGGCGGACGGACACACUGGGACUGAGACACGGCCCAGACUCCUACGGGAGGCAGCAGUGGGGAAUUGUUCACAAUGGGCGCAAGCCUGAUGACGCAACGCCGCGUGGAGGAUGAAGGUCUUCGGAUUGUAAACUCCUGUUGCCCGGGACGAAAAGCUCUGACCUAACACGUCGGAGUCUGACGGUACCGGGUGAGGAAGCCCCGGCUAACUCUGUGCCAGCAGCCGCGGUAAUACAGAGGGGGCAAGCGUUGUUCGGAAUUACUGGGCGUAAAGGGCGCGUAGGCGGCCUUCUAAGUCGAACGUGAAAUCCCUGGGCUCAACCCAGGAACUGCGUCCGAUACUGGAAGGCUUGAAUCCGGGAGAGGGAUGCGGAAUUCCAGGUGUAGCGGUGAAAUGCGUAGAUAUCUGGAGGAACACCGGUGGCGAAGGCGGCAUCCUGGACCGGUAUUGACGCUGAGGCGCGAAAGCCAGGGGAGCAAACGGGAUUAGAUACCCCGGUAGUCCUGGCCCUAAACGAUGAAUGCUUGGUGUGGCGGGUAUCGAUCCCUGCCGUGCCGAAGCUAACGCAUUAAG